rnacentral:ncRNA from 1 species
UGGGAGUAUGGUUGCAAAGCUGAAACUUAAAGGAAUUGACGGAAGGGAACCACCAGGAGUGGAGCCUGCGGCUUAAUUUGACUCAACACGGGAAACCUCAUCCGGCCUGGACACGGACAGGAUUGACAGAUCUUUCUCGAUUCCGUGGGUGGUGGUGCAUGGCCGUUCUUAGUUGGUGGAGCGAUUUGUCUGGUUAAUUCCGAUAACGAACGAGACUCUGGCAUGCUAACUAGUUAUGCAACCCCCAUCCCCCAACUUCUUAGAGGGACAAGUGGCAUCCAGCCACCCGAGAUUGAGCAAUAACAGGUUUGUGACGCCCUUAGGUGUCUGGGGCUGCAGGCGCACUACACUGACUGGCUCAGCGUGUGCCUUCCCUACGCCGGCGCGGGUAACCCAUUGAACCUCAUUCGUGAUGGGGAUCUGAUGGGGAUCGGGGAUUGCAAUUAUUCCCCAAUAAUUCCCCAGUAAGUGCGGGUCGUAAGCUUGCAUUGAUUAAGUCCCUGCCCUUUCG